rnacentral:rRNA from 1 species
GACGAACGCUGGCGGCGUGCCUAAUACAUGCAAGUCGAACGCUUCUUUUCUACCGAGUGCUUGCACUCACCAGAAAAGAGGAGUGGCGGACGGGUGAGUAACACGUGGGUAACCUGCCCAUUAGAAGGGGAUAACACUUGGAAACAGGUGCUAAUACCGUAUAAUUCUUGCGACCGCAUGGUCGCUUGAUAAAAGACGCUUCGGUGUCACUAAUGGAUGGACCCGCGCUGCAUUAGUUAGUUGGUGAGGUAACGGCUCACCAAGACCAUGAUGCAUAGCCCGACCUGAGAGGGGUGAUCGGGCCACACUGGGGACUGAGAUACGGGGCCCAGACUCCUACGGGGAGGGCAGCAGUAGGGGGAAUUUUCCCACAAUGGACGAAAGUCUGAUGGAGCGACGCCGCGUGCACGAAGAAGGUCUUCGGAUUGUAAA